rnacentral:rRNA from 1 species
GACGAACGCUGGCGGCGUGCCUAAUACAUGCAAGUUGAGCGCUGAAGGUUGGUACUUGUACCAACUGGAUGAGCAGCGAACGGGUGAGUAACGCGUGGGGAAUCUGCCUUUGAGCGGGGGACAACAUUUGGAAACGAAUGCUAAUACCGCAUAAAAACUUUAAACACAAGUUUUAAGUUUGAACGAUGCAAUUGCAUCACUCAAAGAUGAUCCCGCGUUGUAUUAGCUAGUUGGUGAGGUAAAGGCUCACCAAGGCGAUGAUACAUAGCCGACCUGAGAGGGUGAUCGGCCACAUUGGGACUGAGACACGGCCCAAACUCCUACGGGAGGCAGCAGUAGGGAAUCUUCGGCAAUGGACGAAAGUCUGACCGAGCAACGCCGCGUGAGUGAAGAAGGUUUUCGGAUCGUAAAACUCUGUUGGUAGAGAAGAACGUUGGUGAGAGUGGAAAGCUCAUCAAGUGACGGUAACUACCCAGAAAGGGACGGCUAACUACGUG